ACAUCAUUUUUCCACAAGCACUGUGCGAUUUUUUUUUGGUUGUUCUCUAUAUUUUUUUUUUGUGUUAUUAUUUUAGACACAUUAUAUUUGUCAAUACCCUUGACUUAGAUGAAGAUCAGAUCACAUUUUAUGACAAAUUUAUUUCAGAAAACCAUGAAAUUCCAAAAGGUUCACAUACUUUUUCUUGCCACUGUAUAAUAAAGUAGUGUGUGAAUAUAAGUAUAUAUUAUAUAUUGUGUGCUAUGUAUAUGCAAUACAAUGUAUACUAAACACAAUAUAACAAUCUACACAGUGGCUUAGUGGUUAGCACGUUCCCCUCACACCGCCAGGGUUGGAGGUUCGAUUCCCCCGCUGCCCUGUGUUUGUGGAGUUUGCAUUUGUGCGGAGUUUGUCCGGGUACUCUGGUUUCUUCCCCCAGUCCAAAGACCUGCAUGGUAGGCUGAUUGGCAUGUCCAAAGUGUCCAUAGUGUAUGAAUGUGUGCCCUGUGUGUGUGGAAAAGUGUGUGUGAUUGUGUACCCCGCCUUGUGCCCCAUGCUGCCUGGGAUAGGCUCCAGGUUCCCCGUGACCCUGAAAAGGAUAAGCGGUAUAGAAGAUGGAUGGAUGGAAGAGAUACAACCCAUCAAUUAGACGAAGGUCAGAAAAAAUGCCCUUGACAUUCUGUCCCCAAGCACAUCUGAAAUGAUGGCUACGCCCCUGUGUGUAUCUGCAGCUUAUUUUUCCGCAUGUUUACAUACUGUUUCCAAAAACUAAUCAACAUUUGUAACCAAAUCAAAUUUUGAUUUUGAGGCGUGUAUGAAGUGUAUAAUUUAGUACAUUAGAGAACUCUCACAAUCUCUGUCUUAUUGAAUUAUCUUCAAGAACUCAUAUAAAGUGUAUUAGAAAAGUUCUUUUCCGGUAACUUGUAAUGUUCGUCAUUUCUUCAUUCUCUUUUGGACUGUAAAUAGAUGCGUGUAAAUUUCACCCCACCUUCUGCUGUCCCUCUGUCAGUGACCACCAUCUUCACUUCACUUAAUAGGAAGAAGAGAAACUUCAACAAACUCUCCACCUGCAUCAUCAACAGUAAAACAAGUUUUCAUCAUUCUGGCGGUUUUAUUGUUGGUGAUACCCGGCGUAGUGGCAUUUAUUUGUUG